ACUGCUGUAGCUUAAUUGGAAGAGCAGAUCAGCGGCGCAGGUUCGAUUCCUGCCAGCAGUG
rnacentral:tRNA from 1 species